UCUGUGCUUUGCUGCGGUGAGCUCUGAGCUAGCGACUGGCGGAGCUCUCUGGCUGUGGUGCAGACCGUAGCAUAGCCACGUUAGCCUCCCUCCACCUCCUCCUCCACGGCACAGUCAGCCGGCAGCAUCGCUCUGCUUCAGCUGCAGCUCCACAGUCUGCCUGAGGAUUUCCUGCUCCUGCAAGGAUUCUCCCUCCUUCUGACCGAAGCGGAGAGAGGAAGAGAGGAAGAGGAGAGGAAGAAAGGAGGAGGAAGAGCCAACACCGGCCGGCAGUGACCUUCGUGGUGUGGUGGCACAGCAGAGGAGGAGUAACAGAUCCAUCAGCUUUAAGAGGUGCGUUUUCCUUCUUUGAGGAGCAGCAGUGAUAUGGAAACCAGGUGUGGUGACGUACAG